rnacentral:rRNA from 1 species
GACGAACGCUGGCGGCGCGCCUAACACAUGCAAGUCGAGCGAAGCGGCGAACGGGUGAGUAACGCGUGAGGAACCUGCCUCUCACAACGGGAUAGCCUCGGGAAACCGGGAUUAAUACAGUAUGGGGAGAGUUGGGCUCGGGUGUGAUGAGUGAGUUGGGGGUGUAACGGCCUACCAAGGCGACGAUCGGUAACCGGCCUGUGAGGGGCAACGGUGACAUUGGAACUGAGACACGGGCCAGACUCCUACGGGAGGCAGCAGUGGGUAAUCUUGCACAAUGGGGGGAACCAUGAUGCAGCGACGCCGGGUGAGCUAUGAAGGUUUUCGAAUCGUAAAGCUCGGUCCUAUGGGAAGCGGUACCAUAGGAGGAAGCCCCGGCUAACUACGUGCCAGCAGCCGCGGUAAUUC